rnacentral:snRNA from 1 species
GGAUAUGAUGGCGAUCUGGCUGUGACAUCUGUCAUCCUAUUGAUCGCCAGGUUGGUUUGGCUGAUCUAGCUGGCUAGGCUGCCAUUCACAACUCCCUGUGUGUUCCUUCUGAGGCUGUGUGCUCCGUCAAGAGGAUAACCAUCCCCAAAUAGAGCCAAGAGUAUAUGCCAGUAGCUUCACUUCGUGCUAGAACUGCCAAACAAGCUCUCAAGAAGGCUGAGUGGAGUGUUCUGGAAUUCUCUAGAAUCUAUCAUUGCACCUCACUGAGCCCACUUGUU